rnacentral:rRNA from 1 species
GACGAACGCUGGCGGCGUGCUUAACACAUGCAAGUCGAACGGACAGGCCCUGCUCUUGUGGGGUGCUCGAGUGGCGAACGGGUGUGUAAAACGCGAGUAACAUGCCCUUGUCUUUGGGAUAACUCUUGGAAAAUGGGGCUCAUACCGGAUAGGAGAUCCCGCUGCAUGGGGGGGGUUGGAAAGAUUCGGCGGUUGGGGAUGGAUUAGCGGGUUAUGCGCCUGUUUGUGGAGUAGUGGCUUACCAAGGGUUUGACGGGUAGCCGACCUUAGAGGGGGAACGGCGACCUGGGGACUGAGAGAGGGACCAGACGCCAACGGGAGGCAGCAGUGGAAAGUAUUGCACAAUGGGCGGGAGCCUGAUGCAGCAGCGCCGCGAGCGGGAUGACGUCCUUCGAGGUGUAAACCGCUUUCGCCUGUAACGAAGCCUGAGUGACGGUAAUGAGUAAAAAAGCACCGGCUAACUACGUG